AGAGUUUGAUCCUGGCUCAGGAUGAACGCUAGCUACAGGCUUAACACAUGCAAGUCGAGGGGCAGCAUGGUCUUAGCUUGCUAAGGCCGAUGGCGACCGGCGCACGGGUGAGUAACACGUAUCCAACCUGCCGUCUACUCUUGGACAGCCUUCUGAAAGGAAGAUUAAUACAAGAUGGCAUCAUGAGUCCGCAUGUUCACAUGAUUAAAGGUAUUCCGGUAGACGAUGGGGAUGCGUUCCAUUAGAUAGUAGGCGGGGUAACGGCCCACCUAGUCUUCGAUGGAUAGGGGUUCUGAGAGGAAGGUCCCCCACAUUGGAACUGAGACACGGUCCAAACUCCUACGGGAGGCAGCAGUGAGGAAUAUUGGUCAAUGGGCGAGAGCCUGAACCAGCCAAGUAGCGUGAAGGAUGACUGCCCUAUGGGUUGUAAACUUCUUUUAUAAAGGAAUAAAGUCGGGUAUGCAUACCCGUUUGCAUGUACUUUAUGAAUAAGGAUCGGCUAACUCCGUGCCAGCAGCCGCGGUAAUACGGAGGAUCCGAGCGUUAUCCGGAUUUAUUGGGUUUAAAGGGAGCGUAGAUGGAUGUUUAAGUCAGUUGUGAAAGUUUGCGGCUCAACCGUAAAAUUGCAGUUGAUACUGGAUAUCUUGAGUGCAGUUGAGGCAGGCGGAAUUCGUGGUGUAGCGGUGAAAUGCUUAGAUAUCACGAAGAACUCCGAUUGCGAAGGCAGCUCACUGGACUGCAACUGACACUGAUGCUCGAAAGUGUGGGUAUCAAACAGGAUUAGAUACCCUGGUAGUCCACACAGUAAACGAUGAAUACUCGCUGUUUGCGAUAUACAGCAAGCGGCCAAGCGAAAGCGUUAAGUAUUCCACCUGGGGAGUACGCCGGCAACGGUGAAACUCAAAGGAAUUGACGGGGGCCCGCACAAGCGGAGGAACAUGUGGUUUAAUUCGAUGAUACGCGAGGAACCUUACCCGGGCUUGAAUUGCAGAGGAAGGAUUUGGAGACAAUGACGCCCUUCGGGGUCUCUGUGAAGGUGCUGCAUGGUUGUCGUCAGCUCGUGCCGUGAGGUGUCGGCUUAAGUGCCAUAACGAGCGCAACCCUUGUUGUCAGUUACUAACAGGUUCUGCUGAGGACUCUGACAAGACUGCCAUCGUAAGAUGUGAGGAAGGUGGGGAUGACGUCAAAUCAGCACGGCCCUUACGUCCGGGGCUACACACGUGUUACAAUGGGGGGUACAGAGGGCCGCUACCACGCGAGUGGAUGCCAAUCCCCAAAACCUCUCUCAGUUCGGACUGGAGUCUGCAACCCGACUCCACGAAGCUGGAUUCGCUAGUAAUCGCGCAUCAGCCACGGCGCGGUGAAUACGUUCCCGGGCCUUGUACACACCGCCCGUCAAGCCAUGGGAGCCGGGGGUACCUGAAGUGCGUAACCGCGAGGAGCGCCCUAGGGUAAAACUGGUGACUGGGGCUAAGUCGUAACAAGGUAGCCGUACCGGAAGGUGCGGCUG
rnacentral:rRNA from 1 species